UACGUAGGCAGCAAGCGUUGUUCGGAGUUACUGGGCGUAAAGGGUGCGUAGGCGGCUUCUUAAGUCUGGUGUGAAAUCUCCCGGCUCAACUGGGAGGGUGCGCCGGAUACUGAGGGGCUAGAGUGUGGGAGAGGAAAGUGGAAUUCCUGGUGUAGCGGUGGAAUGCGCAGAUAUCAGGAGGAACACCAAUAGCGAAGGCAGCUCGCUGGGACGUUACUGACACUAAGGCGCGAAAGCGUGGGGAGCGAACAGG
rnacentral:rRNA from 1 species